UACGAAGGGGGCUAGCGUUGUUCGGAAUCACUGGGCGUAAAGGGCGCGUAGGCGGCUUUAUAAGUCGGGGGUGAAAGCCUGUGGCUCAACCACAGAAUUGCCUUCGAUACUGUAGAGCUUGAGACCGGAAGAGGUAAGUGGAACUGCGAGUGUAGAGGUGAAAUGCGUAGAUAUCUGGAGGAACACCGGUGGCGAAGGCGGCAUCCUGGACCGGUAUUGACGCUGAGGCGCGAAAGCCAGGGGAGCAAACGGG
rnacentral:rRNA from 1 species